CCUACGGGUGGCUGCAGUAGGGAAUAUUGCUCAAUGGGGGAAACCCUGAAGCAGCAACGCCGCGUGGAGGAUGAAGGUCUUCGGAUUGUAAACUCCUUUUGUUAGAGAAGAUAAUGACGGUAUCUAACGAAUAAGUACUGGCUACCUCCGUGCCAGCAGCCGCAGUAAUACGGAGGGUGCAAGCGUUAAUUGGAAUCACUGGGCGUAUAGUGCGCGUAGGCGGGAUAGCAAGGCAGGUGUGAAAUCCUAUGGCUUAACCAGAGAACUGCAUUUGAAACUGGUAUUCUUGAGUAUGGGAGAGGUAGGUGGAAUGCUUGGUGUAGGGGUAAAAUCCGUAGAGAUCAAGAGGAAUACUCAUUGCGAAGGCGACCUGCUAGAACAUAACUGACGCUGAGGUGCGAAAGCGUGGGGAGCAAACAGGAUUAGAUACCCCGGUAGUC
rnacentral:rRNA from 1 species